GACGAACGCUGGCGGCGUGCCUAAUACAUGCAAGUAGAACGCUGAAGGAGGAGCUUGCUUCUCUGGAUGAGUUGCGAACGGGUGAGUAACGCGUAGGUAACCUGCCUGGUAGCGGGGGAUAACUAUUGGAAACGAUAGCUAAUACCGCAUAAGAGUAGAUGUCGCAUGACAUUUGCUUAAAAGGUGCAAUUGCAUCACUACCAGAUGGACCUGCGUUGUAUUAGCUAGUUGGUGAGGUAACGGCUCACCAAGGCAACGAUACAUAGCCGACCUGAGAGGGGGAUCGGCCACACUGGGACUGAGACGCGGCCCAGACUCCUACGGGAGGCAGCAGUAGGGAAUCUUCGGCAAUGGACGGAAGUCUGACCGAGCAACGCCGCGUGAGUGAAGAAGGUUUUCGGAUCGUAAAGCUCUGUUGUAAGAGAAGAACGAGUGUGAGAGUGGAAAGUUCACACUGUGACGGUAUCUUACCAGAAAGGGACGGCUAACUACGUG
rnacentral:rRNA from 1 species